UACGAAGGGGCUAGCGUUGCUCGGAAUUACUGGGCGUAAAGGGCGCGUAGGCGGACAGUUUAGUCAGAGGUGAAAGCCCAGGGCUCAACCCUUGAAUGCCGGUUGAUACUGUCGGGCUAGAGUCCGGAAGAGGCGAGUGGAAUUCCGGUGUAGCGGUGAAAUGCGCAGAUAUCGGGAGGAACACCAAUGGCGAAGGCAGCUCGCUGGGACGGUACUGACGCUGAGACGCGAAAGCGUGGGAGCAACAGGG
rnacentral:rRNA from 1 species